AUUGAACGCUGGCGGCAGGCUUAACACAUGCAAGUCGAGCGGAGAUGAGGUGCUUGCACCUUAUCUUAGCGGCGGACGGGUGAGUAAUGCUUAGGAAUCUGCCUAUUAGUGGGGGACAACAUUCCGAAAGGAAUGCUAAUACCGCAUACGUCCUACGGGAGAAAGCAGGGGAUCUUCGGACCUUGCGCUAAUAGAUGAGCCUAAGUCGGAUUAGCUAGUUGGUGGGGUAAAGGCCUACCAAGGCGACGAUCUGUAGCGGGUCUGAGAGGAUGAUCCGCAACACUGGGACUGAGACACGGCCCAGGCUCCUACGGGAGGCAGCAGUGGGGAAUAUUGGACAAUGGGCGGAAGCCUGAUCCAGCCAUGCCGCGUGUGUGAAGAAGGCCUUUUGGUUGUAAAGCACUUUAAGCGAGGAGGAGGCUACUUGGAUUAAUACUCUAGGAUAGUGGACGUUACUCGCAGAAUAAGCACCGGCUAACUCUGUGCCAGCCGCCGCCGUAAGAC
rnacentral:rRNA from 1 species